rnacentral:rRNA from 1 species
AUACGUAGGUGGCAAGCGUUAUCCGGAUUUACUGGGUGUAAAGGGCGCGUAGGCGGGGGUGCAAGUCAGAUGUGAAAUCUAUGGGCUUAACUCAUAAACUGCAUUUGAAACUGUAUCUCUUGAGUGCUGGAGAGGUAGACGGAAUUCCUUGUGUAGCGGUGAAAUGCGUAGAUAUAAGGAAGAACACCAGUGGCGAAGGCGGCCUACUGGACAGUAACUGACGCUGAGGCGCGAAAGCGUGGGGAGCAAACAGGAUUAGAUACCCUGGUAGUCCACGCUGUAAACGAUGAAUACUAGGUGUGGGGGGACUGACCCCCUCCGUGCCGCAGUUAACACAAUAAGUAUUCCACCUGGGGAGUACGGCCGCAAGGUUGAAACUCAAAUGAAUUGACGGGG